rnacentral:lncRNA from 1 species
AUCCCAAGGUCUGCUCCCAAACACCUCUGGAUAUUCGCCCCCACAGAGAAAGAGAAGAGACUCCCAAGUGGCACUUUUGCGACUCAUCCCUUAAAAAAAAAGCAUCCGAAACAGCAAAAUAGAAAUCUUUCUUGUCCCCUGGCCUUGCAGGUCUGGCAACAAAACACCACAGCAGCACCAGCAAGGACACACUUAGCACCAGCAAAAUCUGCAUAUGCAAAGGGCUUCCCCAGUCCCAUUCCUCGAUGCUACUAUUGCUCCAGGCGACAUCUUGAUUCUCCGCUUCCUUCUCGAAGUGCCAACUGCGGCCUUUCAAGCUCUGGGCUCCCCAUCAGGAAAACGGGAUCCAGCUUUCUCCAAGGACACAGGGUUUUCACCAACCUGCAGAAAUAAAGAUUUGUAUAUCGGGGAAGAUUCACGCAACACUAACAUCUGUGCCAAUCUUCUUCCUUUUUUCUUCCCCCCAAAGCCCCAGUAGAUAGUUGUGUAUAGUUAUAAGUCCUGCUAGUUCUUCUAUGUGAGCUGCCACCACAGUGUGACAACUGACAGAUGGGUGGUGUGGUUGUGCACCUGGGAACUGAACCUGGUCUGGCAAAGCAGAGUGCACUGAACUUUAACCACUGGGCCAUCAGGGCUGGCUCAAGAGGUCCCUUUUUUUUUUUUUUUCCUGAGGAAGAUUCACCCUGAGCUAACAUUCAUUGCCAGUCUUCCUCUACUUUGUAUGUGAGAUGUCCUCACAGCAUGGCUGAUGAAUGGAGCAGGUCUGCGCCCAGGAUCCAAACCUGCAAACCCAGGCUGCCAAAGCAGAGCACAUGGAACUCUAACCACUCAGCCACGGGGCCGACUCCCUUCUCUACUUCAUAUUGGGUUGAUUUUGACCAUGGAGUUCAGAUGGUGCCAGUCUUCAGUCCCAGUGCCUAAGACUUCUGGGGACAAAGCUCUCCAUGCAGAAUGUUCCCAGAGAGAAGACGACUGCUCUGGCUUUUGCUGCCACAUGGGAAGUCAGACUCGGUGUUGUCAGAUCUUUCCAUUUUUUCAAGAGAAACUGGAAAUACAGGCUUCUACGUGAAAGAGCUUGAUUUUUAAGUGUUGGGAGAAAAAAAAGCAUGCAAGUCAAAUAAAACUCAUCUGCAGACCAGAUUCAGCUGAGAGACACCAGGUUUCAACCCUCGACAGACACUCAGACAUGAGACAGAGUCGGCUGGCAUUGAAGCCCGCCUCGUCUUAACCCUCAGAAGCUAUCUCUGUGCCUCGGUUUCCCUGUCUGUAAGGUGAGGGAGUUGGGGCAGCUGGUCUGUAACAUCCCGUCUAGUCUGGCUAUGUUUCUAGAAUGGGGACCUUUUUGGGUCAUAGAUCUUUUGAGAAUCAGAUCAAAGCUACGGCUUCUCUCUCAAGUGGGAGGAAACAGAGGAAUAUGAAAUUAGACAUAAUAUUGGCUGAAGCUGGGAUGGGCAUGCAAGGAGUCAUCCUCCCUCUUAAGCGCUCCAACAGUGACCA